UCUCUCUCUCUCUCGUGACUGUGAGCACGACAGACGAUGACGUCGAGCGACGGGGUUAAGGAACCUCACUCUUUUGUUUCUCACUUCGUUGGCUUUCCUUCUGCUGCUCUCAUUCCAGUGGCGAAGGAGCUGCUCAGGGACCACCGCAGCCAUUAAUAGCAGGCUCGAAGCUUUCAGCUUCAAGAACAUCGGUCCGCUCAGAUUCACAGAUUGAAGAGACUCUCCGAUUCGCCGGUGUUCCUGGACAUUCUUAUAUUUUGCAAUUGUUUUGUUGAAUCCACAAUGGAAUGCGAAGGUGGUUACAUCUGUGGCGGGAGGAUUUUUCUAGGUAAAUAGUAUUGUUGUACGAAUACAGUUAGGAACACAUAAUCAAACACACAAAAUAUAUCAAUGGACGUGAUUUUACAAGAUUUGUUGUCUGGACCCGCCUCUGAAAUUUUUUGCAUUUUUAGUGUUCAAUUCUGUGAUUGGUUUUUUCUUAGACUUAUUGUUGUUGUACACACGCAUUACAAAGUGUUUAUGGGUUGAGUGUGUAACUUGUGGCAAUUUGGUUUGCUAUCUGAUUUUGAAUCUUGCUGAUCUAAUGCAGACCUUUAUAGCCAUAAAUUGUUAUUGGACAGUUUAAAAAAUCAAUGAAAAAUUUGGUAAUGUCUCCUUCCCCAAUGGAUACAUAUCAAAAUGGACAUAUGAAACAUCUUGAUGGGGGAUACUCACUAUUCAAAAUUGAAGAUACUGAUUUGUGGAAGUUAUUGGACAAGCCGAGAUCUAUUAACAUAGAGAGGAAUCGAUCCUUCGAUGAGAGGUCCUUCAGUGUGAUGUCAAUCUUUUUAUCACCGCCACGCCAUUUAUUCAGAAGUUUUGAAAAUGCCACCUCGCAUGUGUUUGAUCAUAUCGACAAUGUUUAUUCUACAGGUAGAAGAUCUAGAAUUGGUAGCCCUAGAAUAAGUAGAGUUGAGACACAUCCCAUAGUCUUCGAGGCAUGGGAGUCUUUGAGGCAUUCAUUGGUUUAUUUUCGUGGGCAACAAGUUGGGACUAUUGCUGCUGUAGACCAUUCUGUAGAAAACCUCAACUAUGAUCAGAUUUGAAGGUGGUUGAAUCUCCUAUUUUUGUGAUGAGAAUAAUUCCCACAGCUACAGCUGUAUUUAAUGUUUCAAAGUUGAACAUGGAGCGAAACAAUGUUCGUGCUCUGAAUCAAGAUGGAUCUAGUGGCAUUCACCAGGCUUCUCCACAAACACAUCAGAGAUCCUCUUUUGGAAGUCAUGAAAUGCAACCUUUUAAUCAGGGGGAAUUUAGUGCUGUUCCAGGACGAAAACCUGAACCUUGUACUGCUUUUUAUUCUGCUUGCCAGUGCAGGUAACUCAUGUUCAUUGAAUGAUAAAUUUUAGUGAAGGAAUGCAUUUUCAAAAUUUUGGCAUAUUUAUGAAGGGCUGCAGGUUAGGGUUGCCUAAUUGUUAAGUGUUUUUGUAUGGGACACGGGCAUUCAACACACCACAUAUAUCUGAAAUGCACUCAAAGUAUUUGCACAAUCACCAUUCAAUUGCAUUCCUUUUGUAGAACAUUAAAUAUUUGAGAUGGAUAAAGCAUCUUAAAUUAAGUUGUUGGUUAUAGUAAAAUUUUUGUUGAACUUGCAAUUUCUAUGGGUAAAGUGACAUUUUGUUUUUACAUGCUUCAUGUCAUGGUAGAGGUAUUUAAUGUUAAGACAUUUGAAGAGGUGUGAUUAGUCGGACUUUAUCUUUUGUAAGACUAGAACAAUCUCUACAAAUAGUUAGUUUAUUCAUAUGCUUCUAGUGGUGUCUGAAUUAAUUUCUGUUUUUAUUUUUCAGGUUAGAAAUUUCUUGGAGAGAUGCAAAAUAUGGU